rnacentral:misc_RNA from 1 species
GAUGAAGAACGUAGCGAAAUGCGAUAAGUAAUGUGAAUUGCAGAAUUCAGUGAAUCAUCGAAUCUUUGAACGCACAUUGCGCCCGCCAGUAUUCUGGCGGGCAUGCCUGUUCGAGCGUCAUUUCAACCAUCAAGCCCCGGGCUUGUGUUGGGGACCUGCGGCUGCCGCAGGCCCUGAAAUCCAGUGGCGGUCUCGCCGUCGCACCGAGCGUAGUAGCAUACUUCUCGCUCCGGGCGCGCGGCGGGCACCUGCCGUAAAACCCCCCUAUUUCUCAAGGUUGACCUCGGAUCAGGUAGGAAUACCCGCUGAACUUAAGCAUAUCAAUAAGCGGAGGA